GACGAACGCUGGCGGCGUGCCUAACACAUGCAAGUCGAGCGAAUGAAGUUCCUUCGGGAACGGAUUUAGCGGCGGACGGGUGAGUAACACGUGGGCAACCUGCCUCAUAGAGGGGAAUAGCCUUCCGAAAGGGAGAUUAAUACCGCAUAAGAUUGUAGUACCGCAUGGUACAGCAAUUAAAGGAGCAAUCCGCUAUGAGAUGGGCCCGCGGCGCAUUAGCUAGUUGGUGAGGUAACGGCUCACCAAGGCGACGAUGCGUAGCCGACCUGAGGGGGUGAUCGGCCACAUUGGGACUGGGACACGGCCCAGACUCCUACGGGAGGCAGCAGUGGGGAAUAUUGAACAAUGGGGGAAACCCUGAUGCAGCAACGCCGCGUGAGUGAUGACGGCCUUCGGGUUGUAAAGCUCUGUCUUCAGGGACGAUAAUGACGGUACCUGAGGAGGAAGCCACGGCUAACUACGUGCCAGCAGCCGCCGUAA
rnacentral:rRNA from 1 species